rnacentral:rRNA from 1 species
CGUGAGGGAAAGGCGAAAAGAACCCCGGCGAGGGGAGUGAAAAAGAACCUGAAACCGUGUACGUACAAGCAGUGGGAGCACAGAGCAAUCUGUGUGACUGCGUACCUUUUGUAUAAUGGGUCAGCGACUUAUAUUCUGUAGCAAGGUUAACCGAAUAGGGGAGCCGAAGGGAAACCGAGUCUUAACUGGGCGUUAAGUUGCAGGGUAUAGACCCGAAACCCGGUGAUCUAGCCAUGGGCAGGUUGAAGGUUGGGUAACACUAACUGGAGGACCGAACCGACUAAUGUUGAAAAAUUAGCGGAUGACUUGUGGCUGGGGGUGAAAGGCCAAUCAAACCGGGAGAUAGCUGGUUCUCCCCGAAAGCUAUUUAGGUAGCGCCUCGUGAAUUCAUCUCCGGGGGUAGAGCACUGUUUCGGCAAGGGGGUCAUCCCGACUUACCAACCCGAUGCAAACUGCGAAUACCGGAGAAUGUUAUCACGGGAGACACACGGCGGGUGCUAACGUCCGUCG